GACAGAGGUCCCGAGCGUUAGGCGGAAUCACUGGGCUUAAAGCGUGUGUAGGCGGAUCGUUAAGUGCCUUGUGAAAUCCCAUGGCUUAACCAUGGAACUGCUUGGCAUACUGGCGGUCUUGAGCCACUUAGGGGCAACCGGAACAAAUGGUGGAGCGGUGAAAUGCGUAGAUAUCAUUUGGAACGCCAAUGGUGAAAACAGGUUGCUGGGAGUGUGCUGACGCUGAGACACGAAAGCCAGGGGAGCAAACGGG
rnacentral:rRNA from 1 species